rnacentral:tRNA from 2 species
GCUCCGGUGGUGUAGCCCGGUUUAGCAUAGCGGCCUUUCGAGUCGCUGAUCGCGGGUUCGAAUCCCGCCCGGAUGG